rnacentral:rRNA from 1 species
UACGAAGGUGGCAAGCGUUGUUCGGAUUUACUGGGCGUACAGGGAGCGUAGGCGGUUGGAUAAGCCCUCCGUGAAAUCUCCAGGCUUAACCUGGAAAGUGCAGAGGGGACUGUUCAGCUAGAGGAUGGGAGAGGAGCGCGGAAUUCCCGGUGGUAGCGGUGAAAUGCGUAGAGAUCGGGAGGAAGGCCGGUGGCGAAGGCGGCGCUCUGGAACAUUUCUGACGCUGAGGCUCGAAAGCGUGGGGAGCAAACAGGG